ensembl:lncRNA
UGUAGUUGGAGCAGCUGUGGUUGUUGAAUGAGCAACUGUGGGUAUUAUGACGCCUGCUGUGGUGACUGUGGCGGCACCUGUGGUUGUUGUGGGAAAAACUGUGGUUGUUGUGACACCAUUUGUUGUUGUAGUUGGAGCAUCUGUGGUUGUUGUGGGAGAAACUGUGGAUGAUGUGACUCCAUUUGUGGUUGUAGUUGGAGCAUCUGUGGUUGUAAUGACAGGAGCUGUGGUUGUAGUAGGAGCAGAAGUGGUUGUGGUGGCAGCUCCUGUGAUUGUGGUGGUUGCUGCUGUUGAUGUUGUCGAAGCAGCUAUGGUUGUUGUGACUGGAAUUGUGGUAGUCGUCAUGCCAGCUGUGGUGGUCGUGGGGUCAGCUGUGGUUGUGGUUGCAGAAGUAGUUGUGGUUGUAGUUGGAGCAGCUGUGGUUGUUGAAUGAGCAACUGUGGUAGUUGUGAUGCCUGCUGUGGUUGUGGUGGCAGCACCUGUGGUUGU